CCUUUCUUCUUCUUCUUCUUCGACAGAGAAAGAGACGAGACGGCGAGACCCAAGUCUGUGUGAGACUCCCAGAUUCCCUGCAAAUGGGGAAAGGUGAGAAAAGCCUGCACCAGCAGCACCUCCAGGAUCAGAGUCACCAAACCCUCGAUGCUUCUGGGUUCAUUUGUCCCGAAUGUUCCAGAUUCUUGAACAGAAUCGCCCAGGAGUUCAGCUUCCGAUGCGUCUUCGUUUAAUUCUCGGCUUCUCGGUUUUCCUCUCCGGGAUCUUCUGGAUCCUUCCUCGCCAUUCCGUCAAUUCUGGGUUCGAUGCCAAAGAAUCGAUUAAGCUCGGUGAUGCAGGUGGCUAUUUUGUCAAUAGGUGGCUAUUUUGUCCAUGCACCAAAAUAGUGCAUCUAACUGGACUGAUGUGGUGUUUGGUGUCUUCUGAUCCGGUGAAUGUUCCGAUACUUCCAGUGUCCAUAAGUGUGCUGAGAUCAUCUUUGGUUGAGCUGUUCCUUAAGCAAUCAACGUUUGGACGACAUGAACGUUAGUUGUCGUUGUGGUCCAAAGGGCACCAGCCCCACCCAAGGAAUCAAGACCUAUCAAGGACCAGGUCAUAAAGUCUAGAAAGGGAUGGAAGAAAAUGAAGUUGGCAAUGGAGGGUAGUUUUGCUGGAAAUGGUAGUGCAUCAGCCGACCUCAACACAGCCUUCUACUCAAAGCAGCCAAAAUCAUGGAGCAAGGGGUGCUCAAAAGUGAAUGUGCUGGCUUUAAAUUAGAGAAACAUAAUGUGGCUUCAUCAUGUUUUGGAAUUAAUUUUUUGCAAACAAUCUGGUUCCUUGAGUUUUUGGAAACCAAUUAAGCUUGAAUCUAAUGCAUAGUAUGUUUCUCAUGUUGAACUAAUGUUGGUUUUAAUGGUUUUAAUUCAGUGAUAUUGGCAGACCUUUUGGUUCUAUGUUUGAAUUUCUAUGUUACAUUUUCAACUAUUGCAUUGCAUAGUAUUUAUUGUCAGCAGAUAAACACAACAGUAAU